rnacentral:rRNA from 1 species
UACGGGGGGGGCAAGCGUUGUUCGGAAUCACUGGGCGUAAAGCGCACGUAGGCGGAUGUGUCAGUCAGGGGUGAAAUCCCGGAGCUCAACUUCGGAACUGCCUUUGAUACAGCACGUCUUGAGUCCGGAAGAGGUGGGUGGAAUUCCUAGUGUAGAGGUGAAAUUCGUAGAUAUUAGGAAGAACACCGGUGGCGAAGGCGGCCCACUGGUCCGGUACUGACGCUGAGGUGCGAAAGCGUGGGGAGCAAACAGG